rnacentral:rRNA from 1 species
GUAGGUGGCAAGCGUUGUCCGGGAAUUAUUGGGCGUAAAGCGCGCGCAGGCGGUUCUUUAAGUCUGAUGUGAAAGGCCCAACGGGCUCAACCGUGGAGGGUCAUUGGAAACUGGAGAACUUGAGUACAGAAGAGGAAAGCGGAAUUCCACGUGUAGCGGUGAAAUGCGUAGAGAUGUGGAGGAACACCAGUGGCGAAGGCGGCUUUCUGGUCUGUAACUGACGCUGAGGCGCGAAAGCGUGGGGAGCAAACAGGAUUAGAUACCCUGGUAGUCCACGCCGUAAACGAUGAGUGCUAAGUGUUAGGGGGUUUCCGCCCCUUAGUGCUGCAGCUAACGCAUUAAGCACUCCGCCUGGGGAGUACGGCCGCAAAGGCUG